CACCGGCGAACGGGUGCGUAACACGUAAGCGACCUACCGCGGAGCGGGGGAUAGCCGGCCCAACGGCCGGGUAAUACCGCAUACGCUCUUGAGGGUACCUGCCCUUGGGAGGAAGCCUUUCGAGGGCUCUGCGCGGGGCUUGCGGCCUAUCAGCUAGUUGGCGGGGUAACGGCCCACCAAGGCGACGACGGGUAGCUGGUCUGAGAGGAUGGCCAGCCACAUUGGGACUGAGAGACGGCCCAG
rnacentral:rRNA from 1 species